CGUCUCCCAGGAUUCUCGGGCCUAUAGGGGAGUGACAGAACUCUCGCGAGUGUGCAGGUCUUCUUCCGGCUGGCUCUUGCUGCCCCAGGCUGUUUGCGCCUCUCUAGCAGCUUGUGGUUUCCAUCCCCUGCGGAACGGUGAGUGGAGGAUCGUCGAGGGGCAGCGAGCGUGGCCAGGGCGUUUGACGCCGCAGGCUGGGAGCUGCCUGUCUGAACGCGGAGGCCCAGGGGGGCAAGAAUCCAGGCAAUUCUGCUUCUAGCCUCUAGCUAGCUGAUCUAGUGGCUAAGAUUCCUGGUUUUCACCCAGGCUGCCCAGGUUCAAUUCCUGAGCAGAGACUUAAGAGCUCGCUUCAAGCCUUGGUUCACUGAUGUCUCUCUGAGAUCAGGGUCACAUCUACAUUGUGAAGUUCGUUUCUUAAUGCAGAAAGCAGCCCUAUUCGCCGCCUAAAAAGGUAAUGCAGAUUCCUCCAGUAAAGGAACAUGUAAGUAUGCACUGAAUUCUUGCACUUGGCAAACCACAAAGUUACCUUAAGUACUUAAUACAAAGGAAAAGUCUUGAGCCUGAGUCUAUUUUCACUGAAGCAAAAGCACAUCAAGAAGAGGGGGAGGAGAGGGGAGGCAGAGGAGAUUUGGGAAGAAAAUACCUUGUAGGGGACUGAAUCAUCACAGGCCAUUGUGAAAGAUGUUAGAAAAUAAAAAGUGUUGGCAGGGAUGUGGAGAAAUUGGAACCUGGUGCAUCCCUGGUGGGAAUGUAAAAUGGUAUCAUUGCUGUGGAGAACAGUCUGACUGCUCCUCCAAAAAUUACAGAGUUACCAGAUGAUCCAGCAAUUUUGCUUCUUGGGUAUAGAUACCCAAAAGAAUUGAAAGCAGGGACUCAAACAGAUACUUGUACACCCAUGUUCAUAGCAACAAUAUUCCCAACAGCCAAAAGGUGACAACCCAAAUGUCCAUCUAGAGAUGACAUAUAUAUAUAUGCCACAUUUUGUAUAUGUAUGUUUUAUAUAUAUAUAUAUGCAUAACAUUGCAUUUAUACACACACACACACACACACACACACACACCACACACUGGAUUAUUCAGCCUUAAAAAGGAAUGAAUAAUGACUGCUACAACAUGGGUGAGCCUUGAAAACGUAAGUGAAAUAAGCCAGGUACAACGACAUGAUUCCACUCUUAGGAGGUAGUGUAGUUAAAUUCAGAGACUCUUAGGGAUUACCAGGGGCUAGGGAGAGGAGAGAAUGGGGAGGUACUAUAUAAUAGGUACAGAAUUUGUUUGAGAUGAUGGAAAUAUUCUGGAAAUAAUAGUUGCACAACUUUGUGCGUGUAAUUAACACCACUGAAUUGUACACUCAUAAUGGCUAAAAGAUUUAUGUAAUGCAUGUUUCUCUACCAUAAAAACGAAAAGCAAAGAGCUCAACAGAUACAAUCUAAGAUCACAACCAAUCACUGGAAAACCUCGUUUUAAUUUUAAUUCCAGCAUCUACAUUGGACAAUUAGCAUUUGUAAAAACCUUUUCAUGCUUUGAGAACUAAAUGAAAAGACACUCAUGUUGAAAGCUUACCAGAUGCUACUUUUCAGUGUAUGUGCAUUUGUUUUAAACUGAAUGCACUAAGUAGCAUUUGCAGGAUGAACAUGGAUAACAAUACUUGAGGGUUAGAAUUCCUCGCUAUCCAACCACACAUUGUAUUAUACAGGCUGGCGACAACAGCAUCCAUUCUCAUUAGGUAUUUGGAAAUUAUUUUAGUGUCUUGCAUUUGGCCUCACUAUCAAUCACCAUCAAUAGAAAAGUUAUUUCAAACUAGCUCAUUCUAAAUAGACAACUAAGUGGUAGCUUCCAUGAUGUCUUAGGUUCUUUGCGGGGUGGAAGAGCAGGGUAAAUGCUCCCUGCACAUAAUAUACUUAACAUAUUUCAAGUAUCAUUUUACUCUUCAUAUGACAAGUGAGAAAAUGCUGAUUUAUUUAUUUCCUCCCCCUUUGUAGGUGGGAAAUAGAAGGCAUUUGAGCUGAGAUAUUACGACGCCAAAACCUUUAUCAGCUUCUCCAAAUAUUAUUUGCACUCUUCCACUUUAUUUAUUUUUCUUUUUAGGGCCGCACGUGUAGCAUAUGAAAAGUGUCCAGGCUAGGGGUCGAAUUGGAGCUGCUGCUGCCAGCCUACACCACAGCCAUAGCACCUCGGGAUCCGAGCCAAGUCUGCCCCCUACACCACAGCUCAUGCAACGCCAGAUCCUUAACCCACUGAGUGAGGCCAGGGAUUGAACCCUUAUCCUCAGAGAGACAGCAUCAGGAUCUUAGCCCAUUUAGCCACAAAGGGAAUGCCUCUGUUUUAAUUUUGACUAAGUUUUCAUGUGUGGCUUGUGAAAUCAGAGGAGUGAUUGUUGCCAGGGAUGUUAUAACGUUUCAGCUGGCCUAACAGUGCUUUCAAGGUCACCAGCUAACUUUGUAAGUAGAAUUUUUUUUUUUACCAUAAAAAUGAGUGAUGGUUAUUUAGAGUAAAAAGUUUAUACUAAAUCUUGUGUGAUGUUAAAUAAAUCUGCAAGAUACUUGAAAUGUUAAAGGUUUAUGGUGAAGAAGUAAUAUCAAGAGCAAGAGUUUGGGGCUGGCAAUAAAAGGUUUAAAGAAGGGAGUUCCUGUUGUGGCUCAGCUGGUUACAAACCCAACUGGGAUCCAUGAAGAAGCAGGUUCAAUCCCUGGCCUCGCUUAGUGGGUUAAGGAUCCGGCGUUUGCUGUAAGCUGUGGUGUGUAAGUCUCAAGACAGGGCUCAGAUCCCUAGAUGCUGAAGCAUAGGCUGGCAGCUGCAGCUCCAGCUCUGAUUUGACCUCUAGCCUAGGGAUCCUGGAGACUUCCAUGUGCCUGGAGUGUGGCCCUAAGAAGCAAAAAAAAAAAAAAAAAAAAAAAAAAAAAAGUUUAAAGAAGGCAGAGCUGACCCCCACAAUGAUGCAAGAAGUGGCUUUCUAGUCACCCACAGGACAUAUGACAAUGUGGAGGGGGUCAGGAAUUUGGUUUGCUCAGAUAGCCAAUUUAACUGUAAAAAAAUAGCUGAAAAGCUAAAUUUAGACAGUCAAGACUCAUUCUGAAAGAAAGCUUGCUCCGGAGGGAAAAAAAUCCUAGCUGUUGUGGUUGAUGAUCCUGUAGAGAGAGGCCAAACCAAAACAGAGUUUCACUGGAACCACCACUUGGGUGGAUAUUCAGGGCAGUCCUACAAUUUUUUUCAUUGGUCUUGGAGGAACAAAAAUGAGCUGAGCUUCCUCAUUUUUCAUCAGCUCUAUAGGUACAAUGAUUUAAGCAGAGUGAAACCUUUAGAGUCGAGUGUGACAAAGUAGAGAGCAUGGGGCUAGUUUAUUGGGAGGAUCCUAGCAAAUCGUUAGCUCCGAAUGAGCAGCUAAACAUGGGAGCAUUUCUCUUAUUUCAAGCUGAGCUCAUUUGAGUAACAAGUAGGUUACCUGCAGGCUGGGAGUUACACUGUCAACAGGGAGCUAGAGCUCAAUGUUACUCUUUGUUUUUUUUCUUACUGCCAUGGCAGGUGGAAGUUCCUGGGCCAGGAUCAAAACCAAGCCACUACAAGGACAACUCCGGAUCCUUAACCUGCUGCAUCAUAAGAGAUCAGUGUUAUGUAUUGUUAUACAGAAUAGAUGAAAAUGGUUUCACUUUAAACGUUUAAAGAAAAUAAUGCAAGGAAAAGUAUUUCAGAUAUGUUUUUGUGUUAACAUUAGCAUUUUAGUUAAGGAGCUAGUUAAAUCAUGUUCCUCCUCAUAAGAAUAUUGAGUCAACAAGAGUUUAUUUAGGAACUUGGAUCUUUGCUGCCCCAGUUUCCUUACCAGUCUCUAGUAAGAUGCUCUAAUCAGUCAAUAUCUUUAUUGUUGCUGCCCAGAUAAACCAGCAUUACAGACUAUAGAUGACUUAAUCCAGGGCCUUGUGACAGUGACCUCAGAGAACUAGCAUUGCUGCAGAGGUGCAGAUUUGAUCACUGGCCUGGAGGGUGGAUUCACUCCCUUGGUUUACAAGGCAAAAACUUAGAAUAAUUUUUCAUGUUUUCUUAGUUCCUGUUACUGAAUUUUUACAACUUGCAUUUAAGAUGGUGUUUUGUACUAUGUAAUAAAGUAUAUACGUACUUGACAUCCUAAUAAACCAUACAUUGUUUUGAUAA